GGUUAAAAAGCUCGUAGUUGGAUUUCUGUUGAGGUCGACCGGUGUACACUUCGUGUAUUAUUUGGUACGGUCUCGGCAUCCUCUUGGGGAACGUUUCUGGACUUAAUUGGACAGGGCGGUAUUCAAGACUAUUACUUUGAGGAAAUUAGAGUGUUCACGGCAGGCAAGUGCUUUGAAUACAUUAGCAUGGAAUAAUAAUAUAGGACCUUCGUUCUAUUUUGUUGGUUUCUAGAACUUAGGUAAUGAUUAAUAGGGACAAUUGGGGGCAUUCGUAUUAACGCGUCAGAGGUGGAAUUCUUGGAUUGCGUUACGACGAACUACUGCGAAAGCAUUUGCCAAAGAUGUUUUCAUUGAUCAAGAACGAAAGUAUGGGGAUCGAAGACGCUUAGAUACCGUCGUAGUCUAUACCAUAAACUAUGCCAACUAGAGAUUGGAGGGGUUCUCCUAUGUGGCUCCUU
rnacentral:rRNA from 1 species